ACUCACCACCACGUGACCCGCCGGGACCGACAGGCGCCGACGGCGGGAACGCGCCCCCAGCGGGAGCGAGUCCACCCUGCGGCUCGCACACGCCUCUCUGCGCAUGCGCGGACCCCCGCCAUUAAAAAAGCCGGUGGGGACCCACGCGCCCCGACGGUUGUGUGACAGGACAGGAAAGAAAACCAGAACUACAGACUCCCAGGUUUUUGAGCUGGGUGAAUUUAGGGGUGGAAAGGGAGAGGAAGAAAGGUGGUACCUGGUCCUCUAGUGAGCCGCUUAGCCAUCCAGAAUUCUGCGGCCCCUGGAAGAGUGGCAGAAUGGAAGCAAGAUGAAGAUUGGAACCCCAGUCUCCGAAAAACUCCGUCUUGAAAACCCAAACAUUCCUCUUCUGCCGGAGCUUCUAGCAACAGAAAGAAAGUAGAUGGCCCUAGCGAGUUGCUGGGAUUAUCCUAUUAGAAAGUGCUUGUUUUUGAAAUGAUAUGUUAAA